CUUUAGCAUCCGACUGAAAAGACACUAGCCCUCGGCACAAGGCUCCUGAGGUGUCUGGGCAGAGGCGGAACGGGGUGAUGUGCUGACCUUGAACAGCUCAGCCAGCGAUUGCGUUUGAGCGAAGGACGUAAUGUCUAAAACUGGAAGUGAAAAGCACUUCACUGGAUGACUGCUUUUUAUUCGAGCUUCUAAAGAUAGUCCUAGAUCUUAGUCAAGGUUAACAGAUCCAGGGUUUGUAAGCAGAGUGUUUGAGAGGAACCCGGUGGGAUGGCUGCUCAAACAGCUGCUGGGAGGCCCCUUGUCCUCAGCGUCCCAUUGGGCGCUGUUCUGCUCUUUCUGGCUCUUCAGUGACUGUAGCUUAAACAGAUGGCAACCCAAAUUCUGUAGACCCCCAACUUAGCACCCUCUCGUCCUUUUGUAGCUUGAAAAUAAUUUCAGGGAGGUGAGAAGAGGUGAUGAAUGAACCCAAGUUUGACAAAGGGCACUCACUGGCAGUGUUGCCCAGCAGCUGAUCAGCAUCUAAAUGCUGAAGGAGUAAGAUUAUCUGUUUAGUUUGAGUGGGGUGGGGUGGGGCUUAGUUCCUGUGAAUUAAAUGCCAGUAAAAGAUGCUAGUUGGGCAGUUGAGAGGAGCUGGAACCUGAAUAUUUAACGCUGUUUUCACCAAGAUACUUCCCUUGCAAUUCAGAGGACGCUUGUGUCCCCCUUCAGGCCAAGAGCUCUCUCCAGCAACAGCCAGUGAAGGGUCCAGCAAGGGCACUGCCUCAAGUCCUUAGUGACAGGGUUAGAAAACAGCCUGCCUGGGAUAUGAGCCUAACUUACCCCAGCAGGGAUGGGGAAGAGCCUUCCUGCAAAUGCAGAGCUCUGCCACAAUCACUUGGUUUAACACCUUCCCGUGCCGUGCCGUGCCGUGCCGACCUCCACUGCUGCAGGUCAGAGGGGCUCGACCACUUCAGGGGAGCUUGCAGGUUGACACGGGUUGAGGAUCUGGGCCGUUCAUGCACCUCCCUUUUCGUUCUGCAGUCUUUUUAAGUAGCACUUGCUGUACGUCUGCGUGACUCACCGGCUCGCAGCUGUUUGCGAUUGUCUGCCUCUUCAAACAGCAUCCCCGUGUACCCUGCACAGAGGGUGGGAGGUGGUGAUGUCCUCCUCGCUGCUUGCUGCUUCCAAGUGCCGGGUCUGAUCCCUGCGGCACACAGCACGGCGGGCCCUGACGUGCUGCCGCAGCCAGGAGCACAGCUAGCUCUUUGCCACCGUUUGUGAAAUGAGAGUUUAAAAAGGUUGUGCAGGGAGAAAGAGAGCGCCAAGCUGCUCUGUACACCUUGUGCCAGCACCGAGAGACUGGCCUGCGGAAGAAACCAGAACAACGACAUAGUCAGCAUCCUGGAAAAGCAGUCACUGCUGUGAUGCUUCAGCCCUUAAAAAAUGACAUGCCUGGCAGUUAAGGUCCUGCACCAGGGGAGGGAAAGGCUUCCUUACAAGACGAGUGUGCGUGUCUGGCUCUCGGUGCUUAGGCAGGCUUUGAGCUGGUGUUUGGGUAAGUGGGACAGCGCCGCGUCCACAGGGAGCUGAGGACAGGGCUUCAGACAGGCCAUCUGCUGUGGCCCUGAAACCGGGAUCUAGGUGGAAGGUAUGGUGCAUGCUGUGACCUUGCUUAGUGCACGGGGAGCAGAGGUGGACUGAAGAGGCCGUGGCAUUACCAGGGAGCAUAAGGGCCCCUAGAAGCUGCAAGGCAGCUGCUUGUCUCGGGAUCCUUUAGCUCCACGUGAGGAAAUCCCAGGCCUGGGGAUUGAAGACGUAACCUGCUGGAGGGCUUGUGCCCAACCGUGCUGUGGUGGCUGUGUGCCACCUUGCCUCUGGCAGUCCCCAGGAUCUGUUCCCAUAUGCAGCACGUAUGACAUAGGAGUGACAGCAAGGGGACACUUCCCUGGGUCACCAAACUGCGUGCCUGCCAUGGGUUUGCCUUGCUCUUGCAGGCUCUUUGCAGUCAGCGGGUUUCUCCCUUGAGAUGCGUCUGUCCCCUCCUCCCUGGCUGGUUUUGAUAGAAGACAGGGCAGGAUUAGCAUCCUAACGCCUCUCCUCCUACUCAGGGUAAAGUAGGUUAUAUACCUGCUAACACACCUCAAGGCAGGGAUACCUAUUUCACAACUGAACCAAAGCCCAGGCACGAACAACAAAAUAGCCUGGGGGUAGAGAGGUGAAGACCGAAGCUGCUUGGCGUGUCAAUUGAUGGAUAUGGCUUCAUUUAUAGGUAUAUAAUUAUGGUUAAAUGGUGUAAAGUACAGCAGAGGGAGUUCGGCUCCGUGUAAGGACUGGUUUUUCACAGUGAGUGAUUUUUCAUGGCCACCAAGAUCUUGGUUGAGCUUCACCAAAGCCCUUUUUGCACAAGGCAGGCUAUCCGCUGUACAUUCACAGCAUGCCGUGCUCUUAGACCAGCGUCCUCAAGGAUGUGAUUGCCGUCGGGUCUGGGGCUUUUCUGACUCAGAGAGCUGCAAAAGUCUCCUAGAUCUAUCUGAUGUUGAAUGCCUUCAUUGCUAAGCUUCUAGCACUUGUCUUGCUUGAAAUGUGUUGUUUAUCAGAUCCGUGUCAGAUAAAAUGUGCACGUUUUAUCAGUAUGUGCUGAUUAAAAUUUGCUGAGUGUGUCUUCCACGUGCAAGUGGAAGAAGCACGUGUGGGCAGCAGAAAAUGUGGCAAAUCCAGCAUGACUCAAAAUAGCCUCAAGAUAUGCAGCAACUGUUAGCGUGCCUUUUUUUUUUUUUUUCCUUUGAAAAACUUUGUGUUGAAAUGAACCUGCUUUUAAACUGCUAGAAGAAGAAAGUGGCACAAAGCCUGUUUCCAAGAGGCCAGAUGGAAAACACCCAUGAUGUAGGAAGCUCCUGGCUGCGAAUUGCUGAACGAGUAUUUUGGGGAUGCGUCACUGCAGGGUCUCUGCAGUUCGCAGGACAACAAUCAGGAGGGACCCGCAGAAGAGUCUUCAUGGGGCCUCAUUCCUGUCGUGCUCUGUGCUGGCUGCUCCCUAUCUCUGGGGAAGGCAGGAUGGAGAGAGAGGGGAAACCUUUAGGCUUCAGGAAACAGAUAGGAUUUUUUCUCUGCUUUCUGAAGCUGGCCACAUUGAGAGACCCAUAAACUCUUUUCUAGGUGCAAGUGUGGCCUAUAGUUUUUUUUUGUCCCCUUUGAAUUUGGGUGUUAAGCACUGCCUAAACACCGGUCCCUUUAAAGUGUCCUAUAAGGUUUCAUGUUUUAUCUCCCAAGCGUUGAGUGCCAGACAGCUGUUGUUUGCCACGUGUUUGCCAGGUUUUGUUGCUCAUUUCUAAGGCACGUGGUUAAAUACUCUGCCUUGGCUGUGGUAAAAAGUGUCUCAUGUCUUCUUAUAAAAGGGAUUUCUUGCUCAUAAAAACUCUGCAGUGUUCCUGGAUGAGUUUCCUGCUGCUCCUCUUCAAGGUGUGUUAUUAGGUAUACCCUAACCUCUCCUGUCAUCUUUAAUCUUUACCUUCACUUUAUUUGCUGUUGGGGAGCAAAUCUGCUGGCAAUCUGCUGACUGAGCAGCUCAGGUUCCUAGGAAGACCGGUACAAUUGCGUUGUUUCUUUGCCAAUGUCAGCAAUUUUUCUUCCUUUCUGUCCCUCUUCUUUUCUAGCUUUGCUUAGAGAAGAGAAAUAGCCAAGAGAGACAAGAGACAAGGCUCUUUUCCUGCUCUCCCAUGCAGAUAUGGACACUGGUACUUGUUCUCUGUUCCCUUGGAGGCUGAUACAGCUCCCCAGGGCUCCUUCCUCCAUAUGCUCUUUUUUCAGGUGCUCCUGAAAUACUCAGACCAUCUCUUCAGUGGCAUCUGUAUAAGCAGCCAUUGUAUGGCCUGGCUGAUGCUUAAGCUGCAAAAUACACGUAGACAGACUUCGUAGACAGACUUCAGAGAGAGGCUUUUGACUUAGGAAGGAGGAAGGAUGCUGCCAUUAGUCCUGCUGCUGAGCUGCUGUGUCAUCUUGCACGCUCUCAUGGGCCAAGGCAGUCUCUCCUUUAGUUAUCCUCUGCAUGUCCAGACACUUCUUUAAUGCAGAUAACCCUCAUCCAAUGCACUGGGACUUGCAGGUGGGAAGAUCCAGCCCUUCCUUAAGAGAAAGAGCAAGUUAAGAGCUGCUAAUCUUACCGUGUCUAUUCAGGGAUAACUAUUUUGGGGAUGCUCUUCUAUUUAGGACAUAGAGGCACAGGGAGUUACAGUGGACUGAAAUCGUAGUCACCAAAGGUCAGCCAGAAAGUAAGUGCACCUUCCCCUGUUAAUCUGGAGGGAGCUGGAGACGGGUUGUUUAAUCACAGCAGGCACCCACGACAGGAGCACUGUCCUUGUUGAAGUCCCAGGUGCCCGUCCUGGGACAAAACACAGGGCUGUGCCCACGCUCAGCUUGCCCAGAAGCGUUGCUCUGCCCAUCGUUCACUUCCACGCAUAUUCAUAUUGGAUUCAAACGCUUUGGGGAUCUCCUGCCAGAGCAAACCUGAUCGAGCAGGUGCAGCACGCUCCCUUCCCUGUUGGGUUAGUCCAUACAUGCAGCACGGAGCUGCUGCGGCCAGAGGUAGGUUGGAGCAUACCUGCAGGAGCGUUUGCCAGCGCGAGAUUUAAUCUGGUGGUUUUACCUGGAGCGGUUGCUGGGGUGGAUCUGCCCCACAGCAGUGCUCCGCUUGGCUUCCCCGAGGCAUUUUCGAGCUGGCAGGAGGAGUGGGAGAGAGGAGGGAGACAGGCUGGGGACAGUAACCCCUUGGGUAGCAGAUGGAAACGUGUGGCUCUGCUGUGGGUGUUUCGUGGGUCAGGCUUUUCCUGCCUUUGGAAGGCUUGUCAUGCCCAUCCCGCAGUGGCUGGUUUGGGUCCCUCCCUCAUCCCCGGCAACUCCUACACAGGCAAGAUUUUUCAGAAAUUCUGGAAAAAAAUCCUAGUCUGCUGCCCUUUCAUAUCGACAUACCGAUGCUUUCAGACUGGCUUUGGACUGAUGCAUGCCUCUUGAAAAGCCCUAAAAAUCUUUAGUUUCUGCUUUUUGACUUAGUCUUAUUUUUCAGCUCUAGUCUGAAACUUCAAUUUAUGUUGAACCUGAAUUUGUUAGAUUUAGCACGCUCUUGCCGGGAUAAAAGAUGGGUUCUACGUUUGUAGGACCAAUUCCUUGCUGGGGUUGGGGCUUUUGAAGUUGGCUGAGACGUGCCACUUUCUAAGGCACUGAGGACGAGGCCCGUGGUGCCUUAAAGCUGAAACCCCUAUUGUCAUCCGGAAAUGAACUCUUUUCCAACUCAUUUUACGUGCAGACUGGUGAAGUUUUGCGAUGGAAGUUUGACCCUUGUACGGUAAAUUUUAAGCCUCCUGACAAAAGAUUUGCUUAUCUUGGUCUGCUGUUUUUUUCCUGGACUCUCCCCAGGUUCCCAGGAGAUGCAAACGAAAAGCCGAAAGCCCUUUUUCUAGCUGCUUUUGAUGUACCUGUUUAGCAUCUCUCUCAAAUACACCCACGCACGCCAAUCCUUCACCGGGUCGCGCUGGCGCAGCUCCAUGGCGCUCAGCCGAGCCGGGCUGCCUUCUGUUGCCCGGGAUGCUGGUCUGCAGAGAAACACGCGGGGCACGGCUUCCUGAUCUUUUGAACUGGGUAUCAAAGCUGUUCCUGUGGAUGAAAGGCAGGAGCUGUGUGCUCCCGGGCUCUUUCUGGAGUGGGAGAUGCUCUGCCUCGCAGAGCAGGGAGGGGGACUCUACUCUACGGGUGAAUUUGGAAAGGGAGAGCUGUGAAAUGUUCCUUCCUUCGGCCUCAAAGGAGAGCUCUAUAUUUAGAGACUGGUAAUCCCUGCUGUGGCUUUGUGCCUCUAAUCCCCCGCUCUGAUGCCCUGCCUGGGGAAGAUGAGAGCUGGAGGAGCGGGCGCAGCAGACGUGGCAGGCAGCAGGAUUGCGGUGCGCCGCCACCCUCCCGGCGGUCCCGCCGUGUCCUGGGGUGCCCCGUGGCGGCGUGAGCGGGGCUGGAGGGAGCCCGGGAGCAGAGCAGAGCAACGUGCCCAGCCUGGGGGACCCCGAGCAAAUCCCUAAUGCUGUCUGCUGCUCGGCACGUGGCGCUGACAGCUCCCAGGAGCAAUCCAGACGCUGCUCGUCGCGCUCAGACCCAGCAGUUUCCACCCGCGGGAUUCAUCCGAAGGCUCAGGCUCGUGUGUGUCGUCAUCAGUAAAUGCUCGUGGGGUUUUAGGAAAGAGUCGCAGGCUCCUCUAAACUGUGCUUCCUUCUUACCCAACAGAGACUGAAAGGCAUUUCCCCUCCCUUUCCUAUAGGUUUGGAAUUGAAACUUCUGGCACACAGCGCUGCAGCUGUGCUGUGUGCACCCCUAUGAAACCCCUGGCUUGGUUUUGCAAGGGGAUAGAGCGUAAUGCUAGCAGAUUGCCUGUGCCACGGUGUGGGGACUUGCAUCACAUUUAAAACAACAAAAAAAGAGCCCGUUUCCUCUG